rnacentral:lncRNA from 1 species
AUCAUUGAAUAAACAUUAAUUAGUGAAUUCCAAGUAAUGGUAUUUCUCUCAAGCAUUUCAUCAAACAUACAUUAUGCAAAAUCCAUUCCACUAAAAUUUGCAUAAGUUGAUGAAUUUAUUACCUGGGAAGGCGUCAAUUUGAAUACCCAAUUUGGCUAAGAACCUAUGGACUGACACAUCUUAGAUCUUCAGAAAUAUUUUCCGUGUAUGAGGUAUAAUUUCCAAGCACGGCAUUUUCAAAUAUGGACUCUGUCCAAGUCCAGCAUUUGGAAAUUGAACAACCUUGUAAACCUGAAAAACAAGCGACUGCCACCGUGCACUCUGUUAGGAAUCCUGUUAUGAGAGGAAUCAUAUUUUUUUGUAAGAUAUUAUUUUGGAAGUAGUCUUACUAUUUGUAGCAGGUAUAUUUAUUGCGUGAGAUUGUCCUAAUUAGAUUAGGAAAAGAGAAAUUGUGGGUACUCUGAUUAGACAGAGGUAGGACACAACCAAUAUGUUGUAACAUCCUAGAGUGAAGAGAGAGUGUAAUUGAGUCUUGGCUUGUUAUGUGAUCGAUGAUUUUUCAGCUUUUUUUGUGUGUAAAAAGUUGUACCAUGGAGAUUAAUAUAUUGAAAUUAAUUUUGUG